UUGUCUCCAAAUCUACUAUAGGUGACACAGCAAACCUUGUCCCUGGCUCUCUGCUUUUUGGCUAACUGAGUUUGUAUUUUUUGUCUCAUGGAAGCAGUAACAGUUCACAGUGCAGUGAAUACUCUGCAGAUUUGUGAAAAGCAGGAUAGGAACUUCUCCUUAAAUAAAGAGUUGCAAUAUGGAUGUUUAGUAGGAAGCUGAGAAAGGGAGUUUCAAUAAAGUUGGCUGGUUAGUUGAAAUCCUAAUGGAGAUGCCAGAUACUUCAAAUAAUGAAAAAGAUGAAUCAGAUAAGUGACAGGACAAAUAUUACUUUAUUAGGAGUCCAGUGACAGCUUGAUCAAUAAGCACUGAGACACCAAUGGUUUAUAGAAAGACUUAGCUUAGGUAAAAGGAAUUCCCCCAUAGAAUAGCGCAUGUACCUAUGUAACAAAGCAGAAAGUGGUAUCCAUGGCUCUGUUACCAGGGUAUCCACCUGUCUGUGUCAUUGAGGCUAUUCUCAUGGCUGAGAUGGAGAAUGAGGCAAAGGGGAGAAUGCUUGCUUUCAAAGCUGUGUGUCAGCCUCGAUUUCCUUAUCUCUGUAUGGCAUUGUAAUGGUUUGCAUCUGCUUGGCCCAGGGAGUGGCAUGAUUAGAAGGUAAAAACGUAGAACUCAGCUCCUCCUGCACCAUGCCUACCUAGAUGCUGCCAUGCCUCCACCUUGAUGACAAUGGACUGAACCUCUGAACCUGCUGGAACCUAGCAUGGCUGUUCUCUCAGAGACUUUACCUGCAGCUGACUAAGACAGAUGCAGAUACUUACAGACAACCAUUGCAAUGAAGUUGGGGACCUCUAUGGAGGAGUUAUGAGAAGGAUUGAAGGAGCUGAAUGGGACGGGAUGCCCAUAAGAAGACCAACCGUUUCAACAAACCUGGAAAUGUGCGAGCUCCCAGAGACUAAGCCACCAACCAAAGAGCAUACAUGGGCUGGUCAGAGACUCCAGCAUGUAUCUAACAAGGAACUGCAUUGUCUGGCCUUAGGGGAAGAGGAUUCACCUAAUUCUAUAGAGACCUGAUGUCUCAGGAAAGGGGGAUGCUGGAGGUGAGGAGCACCCUCAUGGAAGCAAAGGGGAGAAGA